CGGUGCGUGAAGGGGCAGGAGGAGGGGGGGAGAGAGAAGCGUUGUACGAGCGUAUUUUGCCCGUUUUUCGGCCACGUUCCUAUCGAUUCGCGAACCA